CUUACAGUUGUUGACAGAAGACAGAACUUCCUUCUCCUGGUAUCAACAUGAGAGUGCUCAGUUUGAUUAUGCUGACCAUAUUGUUCAUCUGUCUGUGUUUGACGACCGUUCACUCGAAUUAUCUGUAUGGACGAGGACAAACACAAGUACCAGCUUCAACAAACCAAGGAAUUGGCGAAGGCGAUAUACAUUGUGCCUUUUGCAGUUGGCUCGUUCCAUGUUGCUGUCCUCCCCACUGUACCAAUCGGAGACCGUCUCCUGGUCUCAUCCACCCUCAACCUAUUUUUCCCUCAGGAUUAUACUCACAUUUACUUUCGCCUUAUCCAAAGUUUUACAAACAUCGUUCAGUAUAUUAAUCUAAGGAUCAAUAGUUAUUGUAUCUUGAUAUGGAAAUUAAAGAAAUUGAACACUAUAA